rnacentral:rRNA from 1 species
GACGAACGCUGGCGGCGUGCCUAAUACAUGCAAGUCGAACGAACUCUGGUAUUGAUUGGUGCUUGCAUCAUGAUUUACAUUUGAGUGAGUGGCGAACUGGUGAGUAACACGUGGGAAACCUGCCCAGAAGCGGGGGAUAACACCUGGAAACAGAUGCUAAUACCGCAUAACAACUUGGACCGCAUGGUCCGAGUUUGAAAGAUGGCUUCGGCUAUCACUUUUGGAUGGUCCCGCGGCGUAUUAGCUAGAUGGUGGGGUAACGGCUCACCAUGGCAAUGAUACGUAGCCGACCUGAGAGGGUAAUCGGCCACAUUGGGACUGAGACACGGCCCAAACUCCUACGGGAGGCAGCAGUAGGGAAUCUUCCACAAUGGACGAAAGUCUGAUGGAGCAACGCCGCGUGAGUGAAGAAGGGUUUCGGCUCGUAAAACUCUGUUGUUAAAGAAGAACAUAUCUGAGAGUAACUGUUCAGGUAUUGACGGUAUUUAACCAGAAAGCCACGGCUAACUACGUGCCAGCAGCCGCGGUAAUGCGUAGGUGGCAAGCGUUGUCCGGAUUUAUUGGGCGUAAAGCGAGCGCAGGCGGUUUUUUAAGUCUGAUGUGAAAGCCUUCGGCUCAACCGAAGAAGUGCAUCGGAAACUGGGAAACUUGAGUGCAGAAGAGGACAGUGGAACUCCAUGUGUAGCGGUGAAAUGCGUAGAUAUAUGGAAGAACACCAGUGGCGAAGGCGGCUGUCUGGUCUGCAACUGACGCUGAGGCUCGAAAGUAUGGGUAGCAAACAGGAUUAGAUACCCUGGUAGUCCAUACCGUAAACGAUGAAUGCUAAGUGUUGGAGGGUUUCCGCCCUUCAGUGCUGCAGCUAACGCAUUAAGCAUUCCGCCUGGGGAGUACGGCCGCAAGGCUGAAACUCAAAGGAAUUGACGGGGGCCCGCACAAGCGGUGGAGCAUGUGGUUUAAUUCGAAGCUACGCGAAGAACCUUACCAGGUCUUGACAUACUAUGCAAAUCUAAGAGAUUAGACGUUCCCUUCGGGGACAUGGAUACAGGUGGUGCAUGGUUGUCGUCAGCUCGUGUCGUGAGAUGUUGGGUUAAGUCCCGCAACGAGCGCAACCCUUAUUAUCAGUUGCCAGCAUUAAGUUGGGCACUCUGGUGAGACUGCCGGUGACAAACCGGAGGAAGGUGGGGAUGACGUCAAAUCAUCAUGCCCCUUAUGACCUGGGCUACACACGUGCUACAAUGGAUGGUACAACGAGUUGCGAACUCGCGAGAGUAAGCUAAUCUCUUAAAGCCAUUCUCAGUUCGGAUUGUAGGCUGCAACUCGCCUACAUGAAGUCGGAAUCGCUAGUAAUCGCGGAUCAGCAUGCCGCGGUGAAUACGUUCCCGGGCCUUGUACACACCGCCCGUCACACCAUGAGAGUUUGUAACACCCAAAGUCGGUGGGGUAACCUUUUAGGAACCAGCCGCCUAAGGUGGGACAGAUGAUUAGGGUG